rnacentral:lncRNA from 1 species
GCAUUAUCUGGAGCUGCCUUGCCCUGCCAGAGAUAAUUGUUUAUAGCUGGAGCAGAUGGUGGGAACUUGUCACAGGGCCAAGGAGGGAGAUCUCACAAACAUGGUCAGGGGCUGUGGCCCUGGCCAGGGAAUCUCAGAAGUCUACAGGGGCUGAUUCGGCCAUAGUGGCUCUUCGAGGGAAACCGAGGCGAGGAAAGGGAGGUGACAUGCCCUGCGGUUGCAGGUUCCCAGCUCUAGCUGUGCCUGUCUCAGCCCUGUGUCCCUCAUUCCCUAGACUGAAGACCCUGUGGGUUAGUUGCCUUAGGGGAGGCGAGGUGAGCAGCGGAACACAGAAGUCCUUGCCCUCCACAAUCUGUCUUGGCACCCAAUUGGGGCUUGCCAUACUUGCGAAGGCUCUCGGGGACACUGAGGCAUGCCACCAGGCUGCGGCCUCAGGGCUGUGGACCUGCCUGCAGUCCUGUGAAUGCCAGGUGAGCAGCUCGAAGCCUGCAGCCAGACACCCUGAAGUUGGAACUGCUUCUCAGAAGAGGAAACCCAGACACCACAAAUCUCUGGACAAAGCCUGUAGCUCUGUCCUCCCCAGCCUUUGUAUCUGAGUGC